CGGAAAAGUAGUUUAAGCUUAAAACAUAACACUGAAAAUGUUAAGACGUCAUUAUGCCCUUAUCCAA
rnacentral:tRNA from 1 species